AGAGUUUGAUCAUGGCUCAGAACGAACGCUGGCGGCAGGCCUAACACAUGCAAGUCGAGCGCACCUUCGGGUGAGCGGCGGACGGGUUAGUAACGCGUGGGAACGUGCCCAGAUCUGCGGAAUAGCCACUGGAAACGGUGAGUAAUACCGCAUACGCCCUUCGGGGGAAAGAUUUAUCGGAUUUGGAUCGGCCCGCGUUAGAUUAGGUAGUUGGUGGGGUAACGGCCUACCAAGCCUACGAUCUAUAGCUGGUUUUAGAGGAUGAUCAGCAACACUGGGACUGAGACACGGCCCAGACUCCUACGGGAGGCAGCAGUGGGGAAUCUUGGACAAUGGGCGCAAGCCUGAUCCAGCCAUGCCGCGUGAGUGAUGAAGGCCUUAGGGUCGUAAAGCUCUUUCGCCAGGGAUGAUAAUGACAGUACCUGGUAAAGAAACCCCGGCUAACUCCGUGCCAGCAGCCGCGGUAAUACGGAGGGGGUUAGCGCUGUUCGGAAUUACUGGGCGUAAAGCGCGCGUAGGCGGACCAGAAAGUUAGGGGUGAAAUCCCGGGGCUCAACCCCGGAACUGCCUCUAAAACUCCUGGUCUAGAGUUCGAGAGAGGUGAGUGGAAUUCCGAGUGUAGAGGUGAAAUUCGUAAAUAUUCGGAGGAACACCAGUGGAGAAGGCGGCUCACUGGCUCGAUACUGACGCUGAGGUGCGAAAAGUGU
rnacentral:rRNA from 1 species